rnacentral:rRNA from 1 species
GAUGAACGCUGGCGGCGUGCUUAACACAUGCAAGUCGAACGGUGAAGGCGGAGCUUGCUCUGCUGGAUCAGUGGCGAACGGGUGAGUAACACGUGAGCAAUCUGCCCCUGACUCUGGGAUAAGCGCUGGAAACGGCGUCUAAUACUGGAUACGAGCUGCGAAGGCAUCUUCAGCAGCUGGAAAGAACUUCGGUCAGGGAUGAGCUCGCGGCCUAUCAGCUUGUUGGUGAGGUAACGGCUCACCAAGGCGUCGACGGGUAGCCGGCCUGAAAGGGUGACCGGCCACACGGGGACUGAGACACGGCCCAGACUCCUACGGGAGGCAGCAGUGGGGAAUAUUGCACAAUGGGCGAAAGCCUGAUGCAGCAACGCCGCGUGAGGGACGACGGCCUUCGGGUUGUAAACCUCUUUUAGCAGGGAAGAAGCGAAAGUGACGGUGCCUGCAGAAAAAGCGCCGGCUAACUACGUG